rnacentral:rRNA from 1 species
GAUCCUGGCUCAGAACGAACGCUGGCGGCAGGCUUAACACAUGCAAGUCGAGCGCCCGCAAGGGGAGCGGCAGACGGGUGAGUAACGCGUGGGAAUCUACCUAUCACUACGGAACAACUCCGGGAAACUGGAGCUAAUACCGUAUACGUCCGAGAGGAGAAAGAUUUAUCGGUGAUAGAUGAGCCCGCGUUGGAUUAGCUAGUUGGUGGGGUAAUGGCCUACCAAGGCGACGAUCCAUAGCUGGUCUGAGAGGAUGAUCAGCCACACUGGGACUGAGACACGGCCCAGACUCCUACGGGAGGCAGCAGUGGGAAUAUUGGACAAUGGGCGAAAGCCUGAUCCAGCCAUGCCGCGUGAGUGAUGAAGGCCUUAGGGUUGUAAAGCUCUUUCACCGGUGAAGAUAAUGACGGUAACCGGAGAAGAAGCCCCGGCUAACUUCGUG